UUCAAGGCCAAAUUUGACGUGUAAAAGCACACUUUGACAUCUAAGUUUGUUCGUUAUAAACUUCACGUGAAGAAAUUGACGAAAAAGAAAAUUGUUCUAUUUUUUCAUUUAUUUGGCGUGAAUUCAGUGUCACCAACCUGUGUCCAUUUGGCGGGAAGUGGAAGUAGAGCUGUAGAGCUUUUUGUUUAUUAUUAUUUGUUGAGGUUGAGUCUUUCAUGUUCAUGACAACCUAAAAAUUUUGAUUGAAAAAUGCAUAUAAGAUAAGGGGGUGGGAAAAUGGAAAUUAGUGGCUUUUUUGCAGUUCUGUCUGUUAGUUUUGCUCUGGCUGGGUCUCUUUUGUUUAAACAUUAUAAUCAGCUGAAAGUGGUCUACAAAAAAACCAGGAAGGAAACGUAUUAUAGCCUUGUUGUGGCUAUGAAAGGCAAAAGAAAGAUACCUAUAAAAAGUGUAUUGACUAGUUGGAAGAAACUCCACAUUGUCGAUGCAUAAUAAGAUAUUACUUUAUAAACAAAUAUCAAGACCUAGGAAUGGAACCUGGAUAAUAUAGUCAUCAAGAAGAUAGCAGGAGGUCAUGAGCAACAACAACUUCAUAAGUAUGAGAAUAUUGAGGAAAUCCAGCUCCUCGAUAUCUACUACUGGACAAACUAGAAGAUUGAAGAGGACAAAGCCUUUUGAACUAGUUUGAGUGAUAGGUGAUAGUGAAAAGCAGAGCGUAGUGCUUGUGUGCCUGUGUAUGUUAGAAUAGUGCACGAUCUUGUUAGAUUAGAUAAGAGACGCUAUAGGGUAAGCUCUUCAUUUUAAGGAACAGUAGUAAUUUAGGUUAAAUUAAAAUUGCUCAUUGGUCAGUUAUGACCAGAUUGUAAUUCUCUGAUGUUUGGCAAAAAGGGCUGAAGUCAGAAUUGCACAUCAAUAAUGUUUUGAUGAUUUCUGGACCAUAAAAAAAGUGUUGCAGACUUAAACUGUAUGUACCAAUAAAAAGAGCCGAUUUUUCUGGUCCAGAAAUCAUCAAAACAUUAUCGAUGUGCAAUUCUGACUUAAGCCCUUUUUCCCAAACAUCAGAGAAUUGCAAUGUACAAUUAAAUACAAAUGAAUCAUCAUCGUAGUGAUGAUUAUGGAAAAAAAUAUAUAUAUAGAAAUAUAUAUAUUUUGUGCAAUAAAAAUGUUUAUAUUUA